rnacentral:rRNA from 1 species
GAUGAACGCUGGCGGCGUGCUUAACACAUGCAAGUCGAACGGAAAGGCCCCUGCUUUCAGGGGUGCUCGAGUGGCGAACGGGUGAGUAACACGUGGGUAAUCUGCCCUGCACUUCGGGAUAAGCCUAGGAAACUGGGUCUAAUACCGGAUAGGACGAUCUGCUGCAUGCUAGUGGGGAGAGUUUUUCGGUGUGGGAUGAGCUCGCGGCGUAUCAGCUUGUUGGUGGGGUAGUGGCGUACCAAGGCGUCGACGGGUAGCCGGCCUGAGAGGGUGGACGGCCACAUUGGGACUGAGAUACGGCCCAGACUCCUACGGGAGGCAGCAGUGGGGAAUAUUGCACAAUGGGCGCAAGCCUGAUGCAGCGACGCCGCGUGGGGGAUGACGGCCUUCGGGUUGUAAACCCCUUUCGCCAGUGACGAAGCGUGAGUGACGGUAACUGGAGAAGAAGCACCGGCUAACUACGUG